rnacentral:rRNA from 1 species
GAUCAGACAUGGUGUUUUGUGCCCUCUGCUCCUUGUGGGUAGGGGAAUCUCGCAUUUCACUGGGCCAGCAUCAGUUUUGGUGGCAGGAUAAAUCCAUAGGAAUGUAGCUUGCCUCGGUAAGUAUUAUAGCCUGUGGGAAUACUGCCAGCUGGGACUGAGGACUGCGACGUAAGUCAAGGAUGCUGGCAUAAUGGUUAUAUGCCGCCCGUCUUGA